UGCUGCAUGGUUGUCGUCAGCUCGUGCCGUGAGGUGUCGGGUUAAGUCCCAUAACGACGCGCAACCCUUAUCGUUAGUUGCCAUCUGGUAAAGCAGGGGACUCUAGCGAAACUGCCACGUAAGGUGAGAGGAAGUGGGGAUGACGUCAAAUCAGCACGGCCCUUAUGUCCAGGGCUACACACGUGUUACAAUGGCCGGUACAGAGGGCAGCUACCUGGUGACAGGAUGCUAAUCUCGAAAACCGGUCUCAGUUCGGAUCGAAGUCUGCAACUCGACUUCGUGAAGCUGGAUUCGCUAGUAAUCGCGCAUCAGCCAUGGCGCGGUGAAUACGUUCCCGGGCCUU
rnacentral:rRNA from 1 species